rnacentral:rRNA from 1 species
CCUACGGGAGGCAGCAGUGAGGAAUAUUGGUCAAUGGACGGAAGUCUGAACCAGCCACGCCGCGUGCAGGAAGAAGGCUCUCGGAGUUGAAAACUGCGUUGGUACAAGGGUAAACGUGAAUACGUGUCUUCAGCUGAAAGUACUGUACGAAUAAGGAUAGGCUAACUCCGUGCAAGCAGCCGCGGGAAUACGGAGGAUCCAAGGGUUAUCCGGAUUUAUUGGGUUUAAAGGGUGCGUAGGCGGAUUGAUAAGUUAGAGGUGAAAUGUCCGAGCUUAACUCGGGAACUGCCUCUAAUACUGGUGAUCUCGAGAGUAGAUGCGGUAGGCGGAAUGUAUGGUGUAGCGGUGAAAUGCUUAGAGAUC